GCUGGCGGCACGCCUAACACAUGCAAGUCGAACGAAGUAGCAAUACUUAGUGGCGAACGGGUGAGUAUAAUGUGGGUAUCUGCCUUUUGGUUUGGAAUAACACGGGGAAACUUGUGCUAAUACCGGAUAAGCCUUCACAGGGAAAGUUUUAACGCCAAAAGAUGAGCCCGCACUUGAUUAGCUAGUUGGUAAGGUAAUGGCUUACCAAGGCUACGAUCAAUAGCUGAUCUGAGAGGAUGAUCAGCCACAUUGGGACUGAGACACGGCCCAAACUCCUACGGGAGGCAGCAGUGGGGAAUCUUGCACAAUGGGGGAAACCCUGAUGCAGCGAUGCCGCGUGAGUGAAGAAGGCCUUUGGGUUGUAAAGCUCUUUCGUCGGGGAAGAAAAUGACUGUACCCGAAUAAGAAGGUCCGGCUAACUUCGUGCCAGCAGCCGCGGUAAUACGAAGGGACCUAGCGUAGUUCGGAAUUACUGGGCUUAAAGAGCUCGUAGGUGGUUAGAAAAGUUGGUGGUGAAAUCCCAAGGCUUAACCUUGGAACUGCCAUCAAAACUUUUUAACUAGAGUAUGAUAGAGGAAAGUGGAAUUUCUAGUGUAGAGGUGAAAUUCGUAGAUAUUAGAAAGAACACCAAUUGCGAAGGCAACUUUCUGGAUCAUUACUGACACUGAGGAGCGAAAGCAUGGGUAGCGAAGAGGAUUAGAUACCCUCGUAGUCCAUGCCGUAAACGAUGUGUGCUAGACGUUGGAAACUUAGUUUUCAGUGUCGCAGCAAAAGCGUUAAGCACACCGCCUGGGGAGUACG
rnacentral:rRNA from 1 species